AACGAACGCUGGCGGCAUGCCUAACACAUGCAAGUCGAACGAGACCUUCGGGUCUAGUGGCGCACGGGUGCGUAACGCGUGGGAACCUGCCUUUAGGUUCGGAAUAACUCAGAGAAAUUUGAGCUAAUACCGGAUAAUGUCUUCGGACCAAAGAUUUAUCGCCUUUAGAUGGGCCCGCGUAAGAUUAGCUAGUUGGUGGGUAAAGGCCUACCAAGGCGACGAUCUUUAGCUGGUCUGGGAGGAUGAUCAGCCACACUGGGACUGAGACACGGCCCAGACUCCUACGGGAGGCAGCAGUGGGGAAUAUUGGACAAUGGGCGAAAGCCUGAUCCAGCAAUGCCGCGUGAGUGAUGAAGGCCUUAGGGUUGUAAAGCUCUUUUACCCGAGAUGAUAAUGACAGUAUCGGGAGAAUAAGCUCCGGCU
rnacentral:rRNA from 1 species